UGUUUGGCUUAGUUUGGAACGAACUUCUUCUCAGAUUUAACGCAUUUGCGAUGGAUGAACAAACAGUACAAUCAAGUAUCAAAAAUUAUAAGAUUAUGGCCUGAUGAAUGCUGUCAGCACACAGUUUUGAAGAGAUUAUUGCUUAAAUAUCAGAAUGUCGUCACAAUGGUGGAUGCUUCACAGAUAUGUAUAUGAAGUUAAGGGUUGAAAGACAUAAUUUAAGAUGCAGUUGAAAUAAAUUGGCUGGCCAACUAUUUUAAAUAAUAUGAAGACGAUAGGAGGUCACAAUAACAACUUAUUUGGACUGUUAAGCGAUUUACAAUAUUAUUGCCAUGUUGCUCCUGGUUGAUUUGAGGUUAAAAAAAUUAUUCAG